GGACAAUACAAACAUGUCAGCAAGAACAUCACUGGCACAAGGUUUUGUGGCUGAGAACCACCAUUACCUGAAUUUGAUUUAAACACACGGCAUGUCAGCAAUGACCUAAGUGGUGCAGUUGGUGCUUCAGAAACACAGAUGGUCAUAAUUGAUGAGCAACCAAGGACCACUGCAAAAGCAGCUGUUGUGCAUACUGUAACAUCACAGGCACUCCAAAAAGGAACAGUUUCAAGAAGGCAACUUGAUGCUGGGCAAAGGACUCAACUGCAACAAAAAGAUGGAAAAGAAAGCAAUAAGACAGGAUUGGUUCACAACAAGAGGAAAGCAUGGUUACCACCAGGAGUUGGAUCCUCUGCAAGUGUAGGUGACACUUAUAGGAAGGCA